AUGAGGGAGGUGGCGAUGAAGGUGAUGCUCCAGCCGCCGGCCCGGCAGGAAGGUCUGGUGCGUGGGGCCGGCUGCGCGCAGGCAGCCCAGCAKCCCUUCUCGGCUGGUGAGACAGGUCCCCCCAGGGACGGUGCCCGGCUCGCGCCCACAGCACCGAAGGAUGGAUAUUUUACCGUGCUCCCCGAUAACAGGCACACGGGAAUUUCAGCUGAUUUGUGGCAUGAAAGAGAGAGCAGCGCCGUGCUCACGACCAGGUGGCAGCUGCACGGCAGCAUGAACCAUCGCUGCUGCCCGUUAUGGUCGGGGGUGGAUCACGCGCCAGAUGUCACCACCGAAUUCUGCUCUAAUGAAGAACUCUGGGAAAAAAGCUCAGAGUUCUGGACAGGAGUGAAUAAUUAUUAAAAAUCAAAGUGUGUUGACGCAUGAAUCAAUACGUCUCGGUGACCAGCUAGCGCAAAAGCGCACGUCGCCAGCCGAGGGUGCAAGGGCCGUGCACCGCGGGCAGCYGAGGCGCUCGGCGAAGGGCGCUGGAGAGGAAUUCCCGAUUCCCCCCGUGGCGGCGUGCGGUGAAAGCGGAAUGAGCUCCAGGAACGAGGCACUUAGCGUGUGGCCGCACGGAGAGGCUCGCUUUGGUCUGAUUUUAGACAAAUCCUUCCGUCAGUGCUCUGCUUUUGAUCUCUGCAUGGCCGGGUGAGGUUUACGUMAGACAAAAGUCUGUCAAAGUUUUAUUUAAAAAGCAUGCUUUUAGCAGAAGGUGGGACACUGRUUAGGUUUGACAUUUGAAGCGAGGCAGUCUAAACAGCCCGGGAACGCAGAGGGAUUGAAGCGAGGUCUGACGUAAAAAAUAUUGCUGUUCUAUCAGGCGAGUGUGGCCUUUCAGGCAAUGGAGUUUGGCUGCUAUUAAUCUGCGCUGACAGACAGUGGCUAAUAUCUGGGCAGCUGUGGUUUUUUCCUGCUAUCUCCUCYGGUUAAUAGAGCACGAUGGUGCAGAAAAGACUUUGCAACAGUUCUGCUAAAAGUAAUUUUUGGAACAAAUAAUAGCUAUCUCACAGAAACACUGUGUCUAGCUCUUGGCRGCCUUCCCGAGGACGCAGACCAGGUUCCCGUGCUGAGCACCUUUUCUGGCAUCAUCUCAGCGCCAAGGAGACAACUGCUUCCCUCCSCCUCUAUUCCGUGGCCGCGUAUCCUAUCGGUUUCCUGUACUGGGCAGUGCGUUCUUUACGGAGGUAACAGAAAAGGAAGAAAUCCGCUCUUCUGGUGUGAAUUUCCAGACAGAAAUCUGUGUUCAUAAACCACUUCUCUGAUUGUUCUAUUAAUACAUUAGUAACAAAAUAGAGAUAGACCAAAAAUGAUUUCGUUAUGUGUUGAGUGUAGGAGAGCUAUAAUGUAAAAGAUUCAUGCUUACAAAUUAACUUAAACCCUUCAAUGAAGUACUCAAGUAUUGCUUUUAAUUACAGGUGUUAUUUACACAUUAUAUUGCUUUUAAUUCCAAGUCACAACAAAAUCUAUAUUUUUCUGCAAGAUGCUUUUAGUGAGUGAUAAAUAUGGAGCUCUCAGAGAAAUCAUGUUUCUUCAUUAGCCCUGUGCAAUUGUUCAUGAUUUAUCUGAUUUAUCUCCUAUUAGAAUAAUAAAAGUAAUGAUGGACCCCA
ensembl:lncRNA